UGUGCCUACAAUCCGUCAGAGCCUCCUUGUGGGGUGAUGGCGUGCCUUUUGAAGAAUGAGCCUGCGAGUCAGGGACAUGUCGCGAGGUUAACCCGUGUGGGGUAGCCGCAGCGAAAGCGAGUCUGAAUAGGGCGUAUCACGUGUGAGCGUGUGUAGUGGCAUGUUCUGGACCCGAAGCGGAGUGAUCUACCCAUGGCCAGGGUGAAGCGCGGGUAAGACCGCGUGGAGG
rnacentral:rRNA from 1 species